UGUUAGGUAAGGGGCCUACGUUGCUAAUAAAGAAAAAGGGGGACAGUAGUUCAUUUAGUGGAAAAUCCACUAGGUUUCGUACAAGUAUUGUUGUAAUAUUGUGGUGAGGCAGCAACGUAAAUAUGGUUGACAAAGAGGAGCAACACUUCAUUAGGCAGCAACAUAAUUUUUUUUAGGACCAUUAGCAGCGUUCCUUUCAUAUCAACCAUUGAUCGAAGUAUAAUUCGUUACAAGGACAUCAUACGGAUUUUGCACACUUUGUUCUAUUUUAUUGCGUUGUUGAAUUCGGGCUUUCUUCAAAGGGAAGUAAAGUGGAAGAAGAUCAUUUUUUGGCAUAUAAGGUAAGAACUAUUCUCUACUAGAUAAAUUUAAGUUCGUUGAGGUCAUAGCUAAAUUGUGGGACGAGAAAUACGAAAAUUAUACCGUAAAUUGUAUUUUAUGUUGUUGUUGGCUCAUGGGCUGUUUGUUGGACUGUUUUGUGGGUUAUGUAAACAUUGUUAUGGACGGAAAUUAUGUUAUACGACAUGAUUAUGAUAAUGAGUAGAUGAAGUGUAUCCAAAAUGAUUUAUUAUUUAACUAAAUUGAGUGCAAAAACUAAUUAUGUGGAUAAUUGGUAAUGUUGGAUUUUAGUGGGAGACUAAAAAAUUUAUUUAACUAUUCAAUUGUGGAUAAAUAUUGAAGUGGACCAUAUCCACGUGGAAGAGUAGAAAUUAAUGACUAAGGUUUGAUAUUAUGUAUGUGGCUUCUGUGGAAAUGAAGAUUUAAAAGUUAUACGGACCCUAAGGUCAACAAGAGACAACACAUAACCCUCUUUUGCUUACAUAAAAGGAGAGGUGACGUGGUAGCUAUAAUAAAGGACAGCAACAUAGCUACCUUGAAAAAAAAAUCAUCUUGAAAGGGCCCUUAACUUUCCAGCAAUAUAUGAGACCUCUAGUUUACUUGAACUAAUAUCUUGUUUCUAAAGGAAGUGAGCAGCAACAUAGUUACUAUUUGAGGAAGAAAAACGUUGAGCAACAACCUCCUUUCAUGAUGAUAUAUGCAGUAUGCAGCAAGCACUUUAAAUUGGAGGUUAUAUUUUGGCAACAAGGUUUAUCAUAUUAAUUGUGGAAGUUCUUGGCUGGACUGAGCUCUUGAACGACGUAAGGUACAGAUGCUUACGUUGGUAACCCGCCAACUUAGGAGUCCUAUUCAGCUAUCUUGGAGAGCUCCCUUGUUCCGGAGCCUAGAUUUUGGUACAGAAUCUGUUGUGGUGUAUAUGUAUUUUAUCCAGGGGUACGGCGGGGCCCUGUCCCGUCAUAUGAUACUGUUGUUACUCUUAGAGGUCUGUAGACAUAUGUGUGGGUUGUGUAUCGAUGUUGUUCAGUUGUGUCUAUAUGGCUUAUGUUUUGGGACGUUCCCAUUCGUAGUGGCAGCCUUCUCGGCUUGCGUAGAUAUAUAUAUGUUUUGAGAAGUAAUGUGUUACGAUAGCCUUGUCGGCUCGUUUAUGGAGGGGAUGUUCCUUUAUAUAUUUUGAAAGCCUUGUCGGCUUAUGUACUAUAAUGUCUGUUGAAAGUUGUACCUCCCCAGGAGACAGGUUGUUGUGAUACGUCUAAAUAAUGUGAC